AUGACUCUUAACGAGCAUGCCGCCUUCAAGCAUCUGUUUAACAAAGCACAUCUUGCACCGCCCUUAAUCCAUUUAACCCUGAGUGGACACAGCACAUGUUUCAGAGAGCACAGGGUUGGGGGUAAGGUCACAGAUCAACAGGAUCCCAAGGCAGAAGAAUUUUUCUUAGUACAGAACAAAAUGAAAAGUCUCCCAUGUCUACCUCUUUCUACACAGACACAGCAACCAUCCGAUUUCUCAAUCUUUUCCCCACCUUUCCCCCCUUUCUAUUCCACAAAACCGCCAUUGUCAUCAUGGCCCGUUCUCAAUGAGCUGUUGGGUACACCUCCCAGAUGGGGUGGUGGCCGGGCAGAGGGGCUCCUCACUUCCCAGUAG
rnacentral:lncRNA from 1 species